GAUACAUAAAAGAUAUAAACAAAGAAUUAUAAAUAGCAUUAAACCGCAAAGUGCGACAUAUUGUUUUUAUCGUGAUAAAUGCAUACAAAUGACUACAAAUACGAUUUGGUAUUUUGUUUGUGUGUGUGUGUGUGUGUGUGUGGAAUGAUCUUUAUGCUUAUAAUCGCGCAAAGAACGGUACCAUUGUUGGAAACGAUGAAAAGAUUAUGGGAUUUAACUGUGGUAUUAAAUCUAUUGCUCAUUGCGAUAAUUAUAUCAUAAGUGGCGACAAUUUUGGUAAUAUUAACCGCUGGGAAAUUGAGUAUAAUAAAAAUAAUAUGAAACGUUUAAAAAAACAUAAUUUACAUACGUUAUAUCGCGCUAUUAAUCAAAUAGACGCAACAUCGCAACACAUUAUAAUUGGUUGUAGAAAUUCAAUAAAGAUACUGAAGUAUACAGAUGAUAAAAAUGGUUGUACA